UUAUAUCUGCUACAACUCUUA
rnacentral:siRNA from 1 species